rnacentral:rRNA from 1 species
AUUAGGAAUCUUGCGCAAUGGGGGCAACCCUGACGCAGCGACACAGCGUGGAGGAGGAAGGUCUUCGGAUUGUAAACUCCUUUUAUAUGGGAAGAAUAAAUGACUGUACCAUAUGAAUAAGGACCUGCUAACUACGUGCCAGAAGCAUCGGUGAUGCGUAGGGUCCGAACGUUAUCCGGAUUUAUUGGGUGUAUAGAGAUGCGUAGGCGGUUUGAUAAGUCUUGAGUUAAAGACCUCGGCUCAACCGAGGAAGAGCUUUCGAAACUAUCAGACUUGAGGCAUAGAGAGGUGAACGGAACUCCGAGUGGAGUGGUGAAAUACGUUGAUAUUCGGAAGAACAUCAGUGGCGAAGGCGGUUCACUGGCUAUAGCCUGACGCUAAGGCUCGAAAGCGUGGGUAGCAAAACGGAUUAGAAACCCUAGUAGUCC